GACGAACGCUGGCGGCGUGCUUAACACAUGCAAGUCGAACGGAAAGGCCUUUUCGGAGGUACUCGAGUGGCGAACGGGUGAGUAACACGUGGGUGAUCUUCCCUGCACUCUGGGAUAAGCCUGGGAAACUGGGUCUAAUACCGGAUAGGACCGCACUUUAGUGUGUGUGGUGGAAAGUUUUUUCGGUGUAGGAUGAGCCCGCGGCCUAUCAGCUUGUUGGUGGGGUAAUGGCCUACCAAGGCGGCGACGGGUAGCCGGACUGAGAGGUUGGUCGGCCACAUUGGGACUGAGAUACGGCCCAGACGCCUACGGGAGGCAGCAGUGGGGAAUAUUGCACAAUGGGCGCAAGCCUGAUGCAGCGACGCCGCGUGGGGGAUGACGGCCUUCGGGUUGUAAACUCCUUUCGCCAGGGACGAAGCGUUUUGUGACGGUACCUGGAGAAGAAGCACCGGCUAACUACGUG
rnacentral:rRNA from 1 species